CGCCGCUGCAGCCAGCACCCGCCGUCGGCUCCUCCUUCCCCACCAUCCGGGUCGCCUCGCCGGAAUCUCGGUCCCCAUCGGUGCAGGUCACCUUGACAGCACCUACGUCCUCACCAACCCAGGCAAGAUCACUGUUCCCGGCCUCCUCUCUUCCUCUCCCGGUCCAUAUUGCUCUUAGCUUUAGUUAAUUGAUUGCAUAACUCGGUUCAGUUGCUAACUGUGUGACUUGUAGGCUAGCUAGGGAAUCUUGUGGGUUCUUCUCAUUUCCCUCCCAGAUAGUGAGAUGUUCUUUGAUUUGUACUUUGUGUUUGACGCUAGCAUGAGUUCGGCGUGUACAGGGAAGAGGUUGCGAGAAGAUUGGUUCAAAUCUUGGUGAAGACCAAGGUAGUUGUAAUGUGGAUACAGGAAAAAAUGCUUAGACAAUGUCAAGCAGGUCCAAAUGAUGUUCAAACUGGAGACCUUCUUCUAACCGUUAAAAAGGCAAAGUAUUCGGCACGCUUAUUUAUUCAUUUUACCGAGCAUGGUUGUUUUGAAACUAAUAUGGUGCUUUUUGGGCAUUUGUUGAUGUUGGAGAAAGCGGUGGUACUAUAGUGGACGAUGUUGCAUCCUCUAUGCAGUUUUUGGUUAUUCUUGAUUCCCACUAUCCACUCUCAUAUGGAAAGGCAGAUUAUUCUCUCCAAUCAGGCCAUUCAUAUAUUUAUCCCUUGUGGGCACACACAUACUCGUGUGCAGUUGGAGACGGAUGUAAAUGAUUUUCAUUCACCUGUGAAGAUGCCUGUAUUCCUUGCAACAGUUUUCCGUGAUUGGACAUUUCCGAAUUAGUGAGAGAGGUUGGGUAGAAGCUCGUCAUGACGUGUUUUUCUUUAAUUUCCUUUCUCCAACUAAGCUAUCAUCUUGAAAUAUUUUCUUUUUUGCAUUGCUACGACAGAAGUGUGUGGCUGCGAGGAGGAGCAAUAUAUAAAAAGGAAACUGUGUUGUCACGGAGUUGUAAAUAUUGGCGCGGCUUCAUUGGUGGCUCAUGGCCCUUUCAUAUGAAUUAGUCCCCAACCAAGGUAUUUUACUUAUCCCCAUCUUUAAUUCGUUGGUUUGGACAGUUCUUGCCAUCUGGAAUCCUGUGUCAGCAGCAACUGCUUCAUCUAAGGUAAUUGCUUUCUCCUCUUUAAGAAGCAAGAAAGUUUUAUAUUCAGUCUUUGUUCCCACUGGGUUCCGUGUCCUGCAUUUGCAUGUGAUAGAUUAAAUUUCUACAUGGUUGUUAAUUUUUAGGCCUGUUAUUAGUCCAUCUGCGUAGGUUCUUUUUAUUCUGUUUGGGACAUUGUGUGCUUCCUCUGUGUUUAUUAAUUGUUCAGCUCUACCUCUUAUUUAUUCGGUAGUGUGACUUGCAUGUGUACCACAGUUAUGUAGAUAAAGGAAUUUAUCUCAUCCCUUUAGGUAUUCACACGUGACUGAAUAACAAUUCUUGCGCUUAUGCUCAGUAGUUGGAUAUGCUUUGGUUUGCAUCACAAACUGUGUAGAGCUUUCUUCGAAUAUGUAUAUAUUUUGUUAGUUCGUUGGUUUGUCAGAUCCUUCAAAGCAAAUGGUUUGAAAGAAUUACUUAUGUAACUCGUUUAAUUUCUAUUCACAUGAUGGUGCUUGUAACACUUUCUACAUAGUGAUAUCUACUCUACCAUGAUAUGAUAUCAGGAUAUGUCAAGAGGCUCUGUUGUGCUAUUUUUCUUUUCCGAAAUGAAAUAUUUGUUUGUGUUUAGUUUGGACCUUCAUGUACAAACAUAGCGUUUCCAAGUCCUUUGUCAAUGUCAAAUUACAGGGCACUUUUAAUAGUGUGUUACAGGAAAAAAAAUGUUGGUUCUAGCCCAAUUUAGAUUGGUGUUAUAAUUAUCAUCUAUGCCUGGAUGUCCUAUUUGGAGUGAUUACGCUGAACCAUGUGGGGCUCAGGAUAAAAUAAUCAUUCAGUAACAAAGGAAUGAUUCAUGGAUGAUAAAGACAAUUGCAGUUUUGCUACUUUUUUCUGUUCACCACUAACUUUAGGUUUUUAGUGUUUUCACAGGUUGCUUGAUACAUACACCACCCUGGGUGCUACAAUUGUAGUUAUUAGGAUUAUGUAAAGUUUCCUUGUGAAUCUGUUGUGUAAGCGCCUUGCAGUUUCUUGCAUUUUAUGAGAUUUCAUUAUGGAACUUAACAUAGAACCCGCUUCCAUUAGCUAGGAUCGCUUCUUCUUCAGUGAAUCCCUUUUAUGGAACUGCAUAUAACUAAAUCUUAAUAACUUCAAUAGGUAACUUUCUUAUAUUUCAGAGAGAAGUAAGUUUGCUAAUUGCCUAUUUUAAUUGUAAUACCUGCCGUGUUAUUCUCUGGAAUUUAUAGCAUUUAUAUUUUUUUUUCUGCUUGAGAAGGUUGUAUCGAGAGCUGUACAACUCUAUUGAGAUAUUUGAUGUAUGUUAAAUCAGAAGUGCUGCUAUCCAUGUGCAAGACACUCAUACAUUUUGGUUUCCCUGGUGAUGUGCUUCAUCGACCACUGCUACGAAAGGCCUAUUUGAUUAGGAUUACAACAGAAAGAUAUGUAUAUAUGCAAGACAAGAUUAGUUCAAAACUUAGUCGAGCUAUCCUUUUGAAUUUCUUUCAUGCAAACAUGUUUUGCCUAGGUAAUGCUUCAAAUCACCAUGUACUAGAUUAGUUAAGAGUUUGGAAGCAUUCUUCAUGGUAUUGCCUUGCAAAAUUGAAUGUUAAG